rnacentral:lncRNA from 1 species
UGUCAUGAUGUCCACGAUUUCCCUGUUGAAUGCCAGCUAGCUUGUGUCCUCCCGGGAAGGGUGCGGCCAGGGCCGCUGACGGUUUGCUGUCAUGGAGUGUGCCUUUGUGUCGGCUGCAGACUGUGUUGCUAUGUUCUGGUUGACACAUUAGUCAGUGGGGCUUGGGCCCCCAUUUCACUAGCAGACGUGAAGAAUACACGCCCUUCCCCAUGUGGGUUCAGUGGUGGGCGUGGGGCCGGCCAACGGUGGCCGGCCCCCCUGGUCAGUGGGGCUUGGGCCCACAGUUUCACUAGCAGACGUGAAGAAUACACGCCCUUCCCCAUGUGGGUUCUGUGGUGGGCGUGGGGCCGGCCAACGGUGGCCGCCCCCCCUGGUCAGUGGGGCUUGGGCCCCCAUUUCACUAGCAGACGUGAAGAAUACACGCCCUUCCCCAUGUGGGUUCAGUGGUGGGCGUGGGGCCGGCCAACGGUGGCCGGCCCCCCUGGGCAGUAUUUCAAGGUAUGGGCCUUGCCGGCUGUGGCUUUUUCUUUUCUUGCCUCCAGUAAGUUACAACACAAUCACACAAUAAACACAAUCACAACACCAAAAAAAGGCCAAAACCCACAACAGGCAAUGUGCCAUGCUUUCUAUAUUUUGUAAUAUAUAUAUAUAAUACAAAAUAAUAAAUACAGCCAGACUUUUGAGCUGCAAGGAAAUUCAGUGCAAUUCAACCAGACCAAUAAAAGAUUAACCUUCGAAAAAGGCGACCAGGCUUUGAAACAGUGAUACUACUCUGAAUCUGACCAACCAAAGAAUUCCCCUAGAUAGCAAGCACCCAGGCUUUGAACCACCGAGGCUAUUCAUUACAAUUCUACCCCCAUAAAAGGCAAGUACCUAACCUUCCAAGCAGCAAGCCUAUUCCUUUCUAUUCCACCUCACCAAACAAAGAAUUCCCAUAAGAAAAUGGCCAGGCUUUCAGACUACAAAAGCUAUUAUUCACUGUUAUUCCACCUACCUAACAAAAGAAUUCCCAUACACCUCAGCAACGCGUGGCCGGGCACAGUAAACUAUAAAAUUGUGCAAUAAAUCUUAGGAAAGGGCAAACGCUCUGCAAUUUAGCAAACAAGCAGGGUGGAUUGUGUUCUCCCACUGUACCAAAUUUGAUCAGUAUAGCUGAAAAAAUGAGAGCAGGAGAGCCCCCGACCCCCCCCAGGGGCUGUUUUGGGGCGACCGCGCAUGCGCGUCCGCCAUUAACGAAUUAAUUUCGAAAAUAACGAAUUUUCGUUAAUUUCGAAAAAUUUUGGGGACAAAAUUCGUAAAUAGCAACAAAAACGAAAAACUGCCCCCUCUAGUUUUGAAACGAGUUUAGAAUCAAAUUUUUCAUGGAUCGAUCAAGCCUAUUAUCCAGUACUUCUGGCAUGCUUUUGAACAUAUUAGGUGAUUGAGGCCUGAAAAUAGGCCAUGGUCAGCUCCCAUCUUCCAGCAUACACCCCAUUUGUCACAUUUUCAUCAGAAAGUAUUAAAACAAGUCUAGAAGGUGACAUUGCAUUGAAAGUUUGACUAGAUUUCAAUUUGACCAGCUUGAUCAGCAGUUGCUGUUGUUGGUUUAAAAGGAUUUCAUCUUCCUGUCAUGUAGAAAAUCCUGAACUGCUGACCCUUAAAUAAUGAGUAUGGUGAAUGUAAGCAAGAGCAAAGAAUGUAGCUGAAUCACUUGCUAAAUCAACAGACGGAAAAUCAGCAAGAUCACCAGCUGGAGCAGAUUUAGUCGAAAGACAGUUUUCUCUUCUCACGAGAGCUGAUAUCUCCCAACUGCUUCUCUCUCUGACACAAAUGAGAGUUUGUGAAGCAAACUAAAGACUAUACUGACAUGCCAGAACUCAUGUGAUGCUGCUUCUAAAUAGCUUGAGGCAUUUUAAUUUCUCAGCUAUAUCACCACUUCUCAGUUCUUGUCACUAUUUCUCUUCUGUCCUUUCCUUUUGUUUGGCUAUUAGAAACUAUACACUGAGAGCCAAAACUUGUCACUAUUUAUAAAUUGUGGAUACAAGCAGCUAUAUAUUUGAUAUUUCUGAUCUAGGUGAUACAAAAACAUAGUAUUUUCACUUUGUAUUGUCCAUUACAAAAAGUUCAAUAAUUAAAGCAUGCAGACUAAACAAUCAGACACAGGUGAUGGGUAAAUUAGGGACACACAAUUAGGGCAUCACCAACCUUCACUAGUAUCUCCACUUAACUAGAGGAGAAAUUAGUUAAGGCUAAACAUCCUCCAAAUCUUUCUACUGCCAUCCAAGCCUUGAUAAGCUGGUUGGUUCUCCAGUAGUUCUCAAAGUGGUGCUCUGUGAAACAUACUGAGGGGCUCUGCAGUUUCCUCCACCUCCCUCAUCCCCCUCCAUGCUUUUCCCGCUUUUUUCCUCUUUCCUCCUCCUGCCUCUCUCCUGCCUCCCUUAAUAAUAAUAAUAAUAAUAAUAAAUUUAUUCUUAUAUCCCGCUCCAUCUCCCCGAGGGGACUCGGGGUGGCUCACAGCAAUAAUAAAAACAGUGACAAAUUAUCCCUUGCCACCCAAAGCCUUUUCCCCCACAUCCUUUGCUGCCAAAAACCUUUUCCACCUGCCUCCCUUGCUGCCAAAACCUUUUUUCCUCACCUUCCUCACGGAUGCUUUACCUCUCGCCUUCCUUGCUUCCCAAACCAUAUUUCCCUCCCACUGUUCAGGGGGUGCUUUGAUUGUGCUUUGCCUGCAUGGCAGAAGUGGGUUGGACUAGAUGACACUUGGGAUUGCUUUAAUCAC